rnacentral:rRNA from 1 species
GAUGAACGCUGGCGGCGUGCCUAAUACAUGCAAGUCGAGCGAACAGAUGAGGAGCUUGCUCCUCUGACGUUAGCGGCGGACGGGUGAGUAACACGUGGAUAACCUACCUAUAAGACUGGGAUAACUUCGGGAAACCAGAGCUAAUACCGGAUAAUAUAUUGAACCGCAUGGUUCAAUAGUGAAAGACGGUUUUGCUGUCACUUAUAGAUGGAUCCGCGCCGCAUUAGCUAGUUGGUAAGGUAACGGCUUACCAAGGCAACGAUGCGUAGCCGACCUGAGAGGGUGAUCGGCCACACUGGAACUGAGACACGGUCCAGACUCCUACGGGAGGCAGCAGUAGGGAAUCUUCCGCAAUGGGCGAAAGCCUGACGGAGCAACGCCGCGUGAGUGAUGAAGGUCUUCGGAUCGUAAAACUCUGUUAUUAGGGAAGAACAAAUGUGUAAGUAACUAUGCACGUCUUGACGGUACCUAAUCAGAAAGCCACGGCUAACUACGU